GUACUUUCUUAAUUCUCAGACCAUUAGUUCUCAAACAGACAGUGAGGAUGACCUGUUACAGCUCUGUACUUAUUAAAAAUGGGCACCAUAUAUAAAAAAUGGAUACUUGGACAAUAUAACAAAUUUCAACAGAUAAGCGCAAUAGACAUUGGCAUGGCCAUUCAAGAAGGAACUUCAAAAAGGUAGAGACACUCAAAAUUUACAUAUUUG
rnacentral:misc_RNA from 1 species